ensembl:scaRNA
UCCGGAGGACUAAGAAAGUGGAGCCAGUGGCACUAUAUUGACUCCAUUGAUACUAUCCUCCUAAAUUAAAUGGUAGAAGAACAAGGCCUGCCUGUGAGAUAAAAGUCAGGACCUACUUGAUCUACCUACAAUGU